UGGGGAAUAUUGCACAAUGGGCGAAAGCCUGAUGCAGCGACGCCGCGUGAUGGAUGACGGCCUUCGGGUUGUAAACCUCUUUCAGCAGGGACGAAGCGCAAGUGACGGUACCUGCAGAAGAAGCACCGGCUAACUACGUGCCAGCAGCCGCGGUAAUACGUAGGGUGCAAGUGUUGUCCGGAAUUACUGGGCGUAAAGAGUUCGUAGGCGGUUUGUCGCGUCGUUUGUGAAAACCAGCAGCUCAACUGCUGGCUUGCAGGCGAUACGGGCAGACUUGAGUACUGCAGGGGAGACUGGAAUUCCUGGUGUAGCGGUGAAAUGCGCAGAUAUCAGGAGGAACACCGGUGGCGAAGGCGGGUCUCUGGGCAGUAACUGACGCUGAGGAACGAAAGCGUGGGUAGCGAACAGG
rnacentral:rRNA from 1 species